CCAAUAGCGUAUAUUAAAGUUGUUGCAGUUAAAAAGCUCGUAGUUGAACUUCGGGGUUUGCUCAUUGGUCAGGCUUAAUUGUCUGUACUGGUGGGAUAAAUCUCUACCUUCUGAGGAACUUUCAUGCCAUUUAUUUGGUGUGAUGGGAAAUCAGGACUGUUACUUUGAAAAAAUUAGAGUGUUUAAAGCAGACUAACGUCUGAAUACAUUAGCAUGGAAUAAUGAAAUAGGACGGACUGAUUCUAUUUCGUUGGUUUCUAGGAUCACCGUAAUGAUUAAUAGGGAUAGUUGGGGGCAUUAGUAUUCAAUUGUCAGAGGUGAAAUUCUUGGAUUUAUUGAAGACUAACUACUGCGAAAGCAUUUGCCAAGGAUGUUUUCAUUAAUCAAGAACGAAAGUUAGGGGAUCGAAGACGAUCAGAUACCGUCGUAGUCUUAACCAUAAACUAUGCCGACUAGGAAUCAGACGAUGUUAAUUUUUUAAUGACUCGUUUGGCACCUUACG
rnacentral:rRNA from 1 species